rnacentral:rRNA from 1 species
UACGGAGGGAGCUAGCGUUAUUCGGAAUUACUGGGCGUAAAGCGCACGUAGGCGGCUUUGUAAGUUAGAGGUGAAAGCCCGGGGCUCAACUCCGGAAUUGCCUUUAAGACUGCAUCGCUAGAAUUGUGGAGAGGUAAGUAGAAUUCCGAGUGUAGAGGUGAAAUUCGUAGAUAUUCGGAAGAACACCAGUGGCGAAGGCGACUUACUGGACACAUAUUGACGCUGAGGUGCGAAAGCGUGGGGAGCAAACAGG